rnacentral:misc_RNA from 1 species
UAAUAUCAAAACUUUCAACAACGGAUCUCUUGGUUCUCGCAUCGAUGAAGAACGCAGCGAAUUGCGAUACGUAGUAUGACUUGCAGACGUGAAUCAUCGAAUCUUUGAACGCACAUUGCGCCUCGAGGCAUUCCUCGAGGCAUGCCUGUUUGAGCGUCGCAUCCCCUCUAACCCCCGGUUAGGCGUUGCUCCGAAAUAUCAACCGCGCUGUCAAACACGUUUACAGCACGACAUUUCGCCCUCAAAUCAGGUAGGACUACCCGCUGAACUUAAGCAUAUCAAUAA